UUCUUUUUAUUUACGAUGAUAUUUGUAAUAAACAUAUCCAACCGUUUAUCAUUUCUGCGUUGUGUGACCAAAUGUGCGGCACAGGACACUAUAGUUAGCUUCCAAAAACAGUCCAUGCUUUUCUAAGGCACCGUGAAUCCGUUGACACGUAGUGUUCAUCAAUCAGGCAAUCAUCGAUAAUGUGUUGUUCAGUGUGGAUUAUUAUUAUUUUUCGGAUUUCAUAUAACCCGCCAUAGGAUUAUAUUCACUAUGUUUUGUGUUUCUGUGCAAAGAGAAAUAACUCGUUUUGGAACAGACAUCCCGCCACCGAAGUGACGCGCCCUUGAUUCCGAGCAGCCAUUGUACCGUUCGUAUGACGCCAUUGACGUGCCACCUACAUAGAUCACCAAUGGAGGAGUCCAUUAUUAUGCAUCUUUUAGAAACAGCUCGGAGAUUUACGAACCACGAUGUAAAUAAUGAUAUUUGUAAUGUGUGGCAGAAACUUGGCAAGUAUGGAGUAUACCAUGAAUCUACAAUUUGGAGCCAACUACAUGUACAUACCCGUCGCGUGGUAUUGAGAGAAUAUGAUUGCAGGCAUUAAUAAUUUAAUAAAAAUUAAUACUAUGACUUUUGAUUAACUAUUAAAGUAAAUUCAGAAGUGCUAAAGUAUGUUUUUCUUAACAAUGUUAGUAAAUUAUUUUUGGCUUUAGUUUGAAUUUUGUUUGUUGCAAACAUGAAAAACAAAUUAAUAAUAAAAAAUCAACACCUUAGG